CCGCCGGUAGCGUAGUGGUUAUCGCACCAGAUUGGUAUUCUGGAGGUAGUGGGUUCGGAUCUCACCCGGCGGG
rnacentral:tRNA from 1 species